rnacentral:rRNA from 1 species
ACAUGCAAGUCGAACGGAAAGAGGUACNUUGCUACUGNUCUUAGCUGGCGNACGGGUGAGUAAUGCUUAGGAAUNUGCCGAUUAGUGGGGGANAACAUUUCGAAAGGAAUGCUAAUACCGCAUACGUCCUACGGGAGAAAGCAGGGGAUCUUCGGACCUNGCGCUAAUAGAUNAGCCUAAGUCNGAUUAGCUAGUUGGUGGGGUAAAGGCCUACCAAGGCGACGAUCUGUAGCGGGUCUGAGAGGAUGAUCCGCCACACUGGGGACUGAGACACGGCCCAAACUCCUACGGGAGGCAGCAGUGGGGANUAUUGGACAAUGGGCGCAAGCCUGAUCCAGCCAUGCCGCGUGUGUGAAGAAGGCCUUAUGGUUGUAAAGCACUUUAGNCGAG